rnacentral:tRNA from 1 species
GGGGUUAUAGUUAAAAAAUAACUUUUAAUUUGCAAUUAAAAAUUAUCGUUAUAGAUUAUCCUCA